UUUCUUAAACCCUUCUCUCUCUCUCUCUCUCUCUCUCUCUCUCUCGACACAGCCUUCUCUCUGCAGAUUUUUCUCCCUAAAAAAUUCUGCUACUUUCUUGGAGAUACUUGACCAGAAACAAAAAAGAAUGUCAACUGAACAGAGAGGAGAAGAAGAUCAGCAAGCCACAGGUGCCCCAGUUCAAGGCUGGAGCUCAAUGGUGGAACAGUACCGGAGGAUCAAAGAAAAUGCAGAAACUUACCCUUAUGUUUGGGCUUCAUAUAUUCUUGUAUAUGGUGGUUUUGGCCUAUGGUUUACCUACAGAUGGAGAAAGCUUCGCAGGACUGAAGAUAGGGUAAGGGUACUACAAGAAAGACUGCGCAAGCUCGUUGAAACUGAAGAGUCUACAAACUCUGCUGCAUCAGUUGAAAAGGCUCCACCACCAUCUGCCAAUAAACCCCCGAGAUAGUUGGGUUUGCUGCUAAUUCAUUUUAGCCUCUUCUUCACAUUCAUACGUGUCAAGUAUGGAAACAGAUAGCUAUUGCUUCCGCAAAUUAAAUGUGAGAAUUGAAGAAAUCACAAUGAUGAUGAUGAUUUCAAGAACUUGUUAGAAAUUAAGAAGAGAAUUCUCUCUUUCUUACUUUGGUCAAGAUCUGAGGUUCCAAGAUGAUAAAAUGUUGUUUUAUAUGUGCCACCCGUUCCCAGUUUUAGGUUUGGUGUGGCAUGUAAAGUGAGCUUAGGUGGCCAAUAUGGCCUAUUGAGGACAAUAAAUUAUAAGAUGUUUGUUAUUUUCACUUGACAUGAAGGAAAUAUAUGCUUUAAUCAGCCUUUAUGAA